GUUUGAUCCUGGCUCAGAGUGAACGCUGGCGGCAGGCCUAACACAUGCAAGUCGAACGGCAGCACAGGAGAGCUUGCUCUCUGGGUGGCGAGUGGCGGACGGGUGAGGAAUGCGUCGGAAUCUGCCUAUUCGUGGGGGAUAACGUAGGGAAACUUACGCUAAUACCGCAUACGACCUACGGGUGAAAGUGGGGGACCUUCGGGCCUCACGCGGAUAGAUGAGCCGACGCCGGAUUAGCUAGUUGGCGGGGUAAAGGCCCACCAAGGCGACGAUCCGUAGCUGGUCUGAGAGGAUGAUCAGCCACACUGGGACUGAGACACGGCCCAGACUCCUACGGGAGGCAGCAGUGGGGAAUAUUGGACAAUGGGCGCAAGCCUGAUCCAGCCAUGCCGCGUGUGUGAAGAAGGCCUUCGGGUUGUAAAGCACUUUUGUUGGGGAAGAAACAGCGCAGGUUAAUAACCGGCGUGAAUGACGGUACCCAAAGAAUAAGCACCGGCUAACUUCGUGCCAGCAGCCGCGGUAAUACGAAGGGUGCAAGCGUUACUCGGAAUUACUGGGCGUAAAGCGUGCGUAGGCGGUUUGUUAAGUCUGAUGUGAAAGCCCCGGGCUCAACCUGGGAAUGGCAUUGGAUACUGGCAGGCUAGAAUGUGGUAGAGGGUGGUGGAAUUCCCGGUGUAGCGGUGAAAUGCGUAGAGAUCGGGAGGAACAUCCGUGGCGAAGGCGGCCACCUGGACCAACAUUGACGCUGAGGCACGAAAGCGUGGGGAGCAAACAGGAUUAGAUACCCUGCUAGUCCACGCCCUAAACGAUGCGAACUGGAUGUUGGGCACACUUAGUGCUCAGUGUCGAAGCUAACGCGUUAAGUUCGCCGCCUGGGGAGUACGGUCGCAAGACUGAAACUCAAAGGAAUUGACGGGGGGCCCGCACAAGCGGUGGAGUAUGUGGUUUAAUUCGAUGC
rnacentral:rRNA from 1 species